UCAGCUAUAACCCAAGUGAUUUGCUCGGUAACAUUGGACCGGUUAAUGUUCUCAAUCAAGUUUCUCAAAUGACCUGGCAUAACUCUCAACAUGCUUUCUGUCAGCUUAACAAAAUCUUGUCGAUCAUCUUCUGGUUCCAGCCCAUCAGGAAUUGAAACUAGGUUUAUAAGGCUCUGCUGUUCAGCUUUUGCCGGUAAGGAAGCCUUAACUUUUUCAUGUAUGAAUUCUGUAUUAACAAAUGUGACUUUCACUCCGUGAGCUGCAAUUUGCAGGGAUAACUUCAUGAGAGGAGCUACAUGGCCUUGUGCUGCGUGUGGUAUAACCAUUACAUGUGGUUGCCUGGCCAUGGUUUGUGCUCACUACACAGAUCUGCUUGCUUCGAUCUUUUACCCUUUAGCACUUAAUUUUUCAGCGAC
rnacentral:lncRNA from 1 species